AAUGAACGCUGGCGGCAUGCUUUACACAUGCAAGUCGAACGGUAACAGGGUGCUUGCACCGCUGACGAGUGGCGAACGGGUGAGUAAUGCGUCGGAACGUGCCGAGUAGUGGGGGAUAACGCAGCGAAAGUUGUGCUAAUACCGCAUACGUACUGAGGUAGAAAGUGGGGGACCUUCUGGCCUCACGCUAUUCGAGCGGCCGACGUCUGAUUAGCUAGUAGGUGAGGUAAAGGCUCACCUAGGCGACGAUCAGUAGCGGGUCUGAGAGGAUGAUACGCCACACUGGGACUGAGACACGGCCCAGACUCCUACGGGAGGCAGCAGUGGGGAAUUUUGGACAGUGGGCGAAAGCCUGAUCCAGCCAUGCCGCGUGUCUGAGGAAGGCCUUCGGGUUGUAAAGGACUUUUGUCAGGGAGGAAAUCCCUAGUGCUAAUAACACUGGGGGAUGACAGUACCUGAAGAAUAAGCACCGGCUAACUACGUGCCAGCAGCCGCAGUAACAC
rnacentral:rRNA from 1 species